rnacentral:rRNA from 1 species
CCUACGGGAGGCAGCAGUGAGGAAUAUUGGUCAAUGGGCGUAAGCCUGAACCAGCCAAGUCGCGUGAGGGAUGAAGGUUCUAUGGAUCGUCAACCUCUUUUAUAAGGGAAUAAAGUGCGGGACGUGUCCCGUUUUGUAUGUACCUUAUGAAUAAGGAUCGGCUAACUCCGUGCCAGCAGCCGCGGUAAUACGGAGGAUGCGAGCGUUAUCCGGAUUUAUUGGGUUUAAAGGGUGCGCAGGCGGCCUGUUAAGUCAGCGGUAAAAGCCCGGGGCUCAACCCAGGCGAGCCGUUGAAACUGGCGGGCUGGAGUUGGAUAGAGGUACGCGGAAUGCGCGGUGUAGCGGUGAAAUGCUUAGAUAUCGCGCAGAACCCCGAUUGCGAAGGCAGCGUACCGGCUCCACACUGACGCUGAGGCACGAAAGCGUGGGUAUCGAACAGGAUUAGAUACCCGAGUAGUC